rnacentral:rRNA from 1 species
CAAUAGCGUAUAUUUAAGUUGUUGCAGUUAGAAAGCUCGUAGUUGGAUUUCGGGUGGGACGCAGCGGUCUCGCAUUGCGUUUGUACUGCUGCAGCCCUCCUUCUUGCCGGGGGCGGCCUCUCGGACUUCACUGUCUGGGGGUCAGAAUCGGCGAUGUUACUUUGAGUAAAUUAGAGUGUUCAAAGCAAGCUUACGCUCUGAAUAUAAUAGCAUGGGAUAACACGACAGGACUCUGGCCUAUCGUGUUGGUCUAUAGGACCAGAGUAAUGAUUAAGAGGGACAGUCGGGGGCAUUCGUAUUCCGUUGUCAGAGGUGAAAUUCUUGGAUUUACGGAAGACGAACAUCUGCGAAAGCAUUUGCCAAGGAUGUUUUCAUUG